UCAGGAUUGGCUCAAUGGUAGAGCGUCCGCCUCCUAUUGUAUUGGAUUCCAGCGGAAGGUUGUGGGUGAGUCAAUAUAUGACAACACACUACACCGGCCUUAGCUAAUUUGUCACAGGUUCGAGUCCCGUACGUUGAA